GACUGUACUAAGGAUCCAGCGGCUGCUCUGGGGCCUCCUGCCUGGUUACUGCACACUGACGGUCACUGCUGCACUACGGGCAAGAGCCAGGGAUUGUACAUUGUGACACCAAGAAGACUCCUGUUGGUUCAGGGGGAGGCAGCGGUAGCCAGCCUGAGACGAAUAUUACUGUUUCUCUCAUAUGAAGAAUCUGGACUUCUUAAAUCAUAAAUAUAUGUGGCAUGUCAGUAGACGAGGGUGAAGACCUGUGGCGGGGAAAAGGACAGACACGAGAAGGUCUACCCUCCUACCCUUGUGCCCUCCCUGCAAAAAGAAAAAAUACAGCAAGACCAAUUUGUGUUGCCAAUAUACUCACUGGAGUAUGGUCAAGCUCCCAGUGGCCAGCCACUUAAAGAUAACUUAGUCCUUCCCCACCCCCUUCUAAGUCCUUCCCCACACCCCUGAGUCCUUCCCCACUCCCCUCUGAGUCCUUCCCAUUCUCCUCUGAGUCCUUCCCCAUUCCCUCUGAAGCCAUCAAUUGUGAACAGCUACACUUUAGCCAAUUGGUCACCGGUUUUUAAGGACUCUCUUCAAAGGCAUCCUAUCUAGAUUGCUUCUUUUUUUUCUUUUUUCUUGGGGGGAUCAUCACAUGUGUGGUCACAUGUUUCUCAUUCUCAACUACAAGUCCACAGUCAUAGAUACCACUGCAAAAGAAGCUUCCUAGUCCAUAGAAGCCGGCAGCUGCACAGAUCAUGGACUUCCACAUGGUUUCCUGCGGCAGCAUAGACCACAGACAACAGCCUCUGUAAGCAGCUGGGAACACUGACCUCAACACGUGGCAGCAUGGAGCAGCAUAGACAGCAUACAGCAUGGACCCCAGAUACCAACAUGGCCUCCAUCAGCAGCACAGACCAUGGAUAUGCACGUGACCUUCAACAGCAUCACAAACCAUGGAUAUUAGCAUGAAUCAUGGACACCAACAUGGCUGUGGUGGCAUCACCAACCUUAAAGGCUUUUUGAGGAGGCUUUUAGAGUUGUCCCCAUCUUGGACAUGCCUGCAUUGCUUAGUCGGGAUGAUCAUGUGGCUUGGCAGUGAGUUCAGGGGUGGAGCCUGAGUAAGCUCCAGGCUGCUGUUGCACACCACCCUGCUGUCCUUACUUGACAUACUGCUCCCCCACCCCUCAGUCCUCACCCCUUACCCCUCACCCCAGUUCUUCACAGCUGCACUCCUACACUUGUCACUGCCCUGCCCACCCACCGCCAGCUGCCUAUCCCUUGUUCUGCCUCUCCCCACCUCAGGCAAGCACUGCUCCUCUCAGCUCAGCCUCUCUAGCUCCCAUUUAUUCAUUCAAGGUGUCAUUACAAACUGCAGUGUGUCACACAAUGUGUGUGUGUGUGUGUGUGUGUGUGUGUGUGUGUGUGUGUGUGUGUGUGUGUGUGUUGGCCCAAACAGCUUUACAUGAAAA